CAGCAGCCGCGGUAAGACAGAGGGGGCGAGCGUUGUCCGGAGUGACUGGGCGUACAGCGCGCGCAGGCGGAUUUUGACGUGCCGUGUAACAGCGCACUGCUCACCAGUGCGUAGCCAUGGUAGACGCGAAGUCUAGAGACCGUGAGAGGGAUGUGGAAUACCCGGUGGAGCGGUGAAAUGCGUAGAGAUCGGGUGGAACACCAGGGGCGAAGGCGGCAUCCUGGCACGGCACUGACGCUGAGGCGCGAGAGCGUGGGGAGCAAACGGGAUUAGAUACCCCGGUAGUCCACGCCGUAAACGAUGUGGAGCCGGCGCUGGGAGGUGAUUGUGCUUCUCGGUGCCUGAGCUUACGCGAUGACUCCACCGCCUGGGGACUACGGCCGCAAGGCUAAAACUCAAAGGAAUUGACGG
rnacentral:rRNA from 1 species